rnacentral:rRNA from 1 species
GGGCGCAAGCCUGAUGCAGCGACGCCGCGUGAGGGAUGACGGCCUUCGGGUUGUAAACCUCUUUCACCAGGGACGAAGCGUGAGUGACGGUACCUGGAGAAGAAGCACCGGCCAACUACGUGCCAGCAGCCGCGGUAAUACGUAGGGUGCGAGCGUUGUCCGGAAUUACUGGGCGUAAAGAGCUCGUAGGCGGUUUGUCGCGUCGUCUGUGAAAUUCUGCAACUCAAUUGCAGGCGUGCAGGCGAUACGGGCAGACUUGAGUACUACAGGGGAGACUGGAAUUCCUGGUGUAGCGGUGAAAUGCGCAGAUAUCAGGAGGAACACCGGUGGCGAAGGCGGGUCUCUGGGUAGUAACUGACGCUGAGGAGCGAAAGCGUGGGUAGCGAACAGGAUUAGAUACCCUGGUAGUCCACGCCGUAAACGGUGGGUACUAGGUGUGGGUUCCUUUUCACGGGAUCCGUGCCGUAGCUAACGCAUUAAGUACCCCGCCUGG